GAUGAACGCUGGCGGCGUGCUUUAACACAUGCAAGUCGAGCGAAGCACCUUGACGGAUUUCUUCGGAAUGAAGUUUUGGUGACUGAGCGGCGGACGGGUGAGUAACGCGUGGGUAACCUGCCUCAUACAGGGGAUAACAGUUGGAAACGGCUGCUAAUACCGCAUAAGCGCACAGUACCGCAUGGUACGGUGUGAAAAAGCUCCCGGUGGUAUGAGAUGGACCCCGCGUCUGAUUAGGUAGUUGGUGGAGUAAUGG
rnacentral:rRNA from 1 species